rnacentral:rRNA from 1 species
GACGAACGCUGGUGGCGUGCUUAACACAUGCAAGUCGAACGGAAAGGCCCUGCUUUUGUGGGGUGCUCGAGUGGCGAACGGGUGAGUAACACGUGAGUAACCUGCCCUUGACUUUGGGAUAACUUCAGGAAACUGGGGCUAAUACCGGAUAGGAGCUCCUGCUGCAUGGUGGGGGUUGGAAAGUUUCGGCGGUUGGGGGUGGACUCGCGGCUUAUCAGCUUGUUGGUGGGGUAGUGGCUUACCAAGGCUUUGACGGGUAGCCGGCCUGAGAGGGUGACCGGCCACAUUGGGACUGAGAUACGGCCCAGACUCCUACGGGAGGCAGCAGUGGGGAAUAUUGCACAAUGGGCGGAAGCCUGAUGCAGCAACGCCGCGUGCGGGAUGACGGCCUUCGGGUUGUAAACCGCUUUCGCCUGUGACGAAGCGUGAGUGACGGUAAUGGGUAAAGAAGCACCGGCUAACUACGUG